GCUUAGCAACCUGCUCGGGACCCCUCUCUGUGACUGUGAGCUGUUCUGUUCUUUUGCCUAUUAAACUCCUGCUCCAAACUCACUCGAUGUGUGUGUGCAUGUCCUUGACCUCAAUAUCUGGUCGUGUGACCAAGAACCUCAGUAUUCACCCCAGACAACAAGGCUGCUUCAUUUUGAGGGCUCGUCUGGGAUUUGAAGGUGACUUCAUCAGAAUGCUUUGCUGCUAAAGGGAUCUGCAGUCCAGCUGAAAACCUGCCCUUGCCUGAGCCCAGCCACUUUCUCCCAGAGAAAACUGGAGAACCUAAACAUGAUUGUGAACAGAAACCAUCAAGCUUCAGAUGGUGCUGAAAAUGGAGCCGAAAAUGAAACUGCCCUCCUACGAGGGACCCUUAAAUCAACCCCAGGAGGAGCCCUAGCUGCUGUUCCCCACACAACGCCACUCUCCAGCAGGAAGUAGCCAGAAGAAAUCGUCACCCAGUUUCCCCUAGCAGCAGUUAUGGAUUUCAUUCCUGAGGGGGGAAAUAUGUUAUAGGAGGCAGAAAGAAAUGAUUUAGGUAGACAUUUAGGGUAAAGUGAGUCCCCAGCAGAAAACUUUCCUUUUAACAAAAAGCAGCUCAAAAAUAGCUCCCUUUCUAACCUCAUGCAGUUCAAAAAAAAAGCACUUCUCUUCUAACAACAAGCAGCCUGAAAGUUCAGGCUGUAAAACACAGAGAAGAUGGCUUGAGCACAGAAAGGGAGGGGGAAGUCUCCUGGGUAAUCACCAAACUUCACAUUUACACAGUGGGCCCCAGUAAAACAGUGGGUCUUAAUAAGCAUAUUCCUUCCCUUUAGGCGCAGUAAGAUUGAGGAGCUAAAAACAGACUUGGGUGGAUGUCUGCAGCUGCAAGAAGAUGUGUGGGAACAGACACAGAAACUCUCCCUCCCAGAUAAGCAAGACAAAGAAACACAGAAUAAGAGUCCAUCUAUGUGGUCAGAGAAUGGGAUAAGAGCUGAUUUAAAAAAACUCUGCUCUAUAUAGAAGGCACACCUGGUCCCAACCAAACCACUGGACCCUAGGAGGAUAAGACCUCCUCUGCUCAUGAGCCCCCUCCUCAGUAGCCCAUUUAUAAAAACCCUGACAAUUUUACUACCACUUGGCAACCCGCUCGGGACCCCUCUCUGUGAUGGAGAGCUGUUCUUUUCUUUUGCCUAUUAAACUCCUGCUCCAAAC
rnacentral:lncRNA from 1 species